UGCGUAGGCGGCCUGACAAGUCAGAGGUGAAAGGCUACGGCUUAACCGUAGUAAGCCUUUGAAACUGACAGGCUUGAGUGCAGGAGAGGAAAGUGGAAUUCCUAGUGUAGCGGUGAGAUGCGUAGAUAUUAGGAGGAACACCAGUGGCGAAGGCGACUUUCUGGACUGUAACUGACGCUGAGGCACGAAAGCGUGGGGAGCGAACAGGAUUAGAUACCCUGGUAGUCC
rnacentral:rRNA from 1 species